UCCUGGGCACUGGGGAGCAGAAUCCAUUGCUGCUCAUCACCGUAAGCCAAAACCCAGCCUACACAUUCCUGUUACUGUUCAACCAGCAUCCUGCCUUCCAGACCAAGGUCCAGCACCCAAGCAUUUGCCAGCACUUUAUUCAAGCGAGUGCUUUUUAAGAAAGGGAAAGAAAGGCACUUGGAACAAAAAAAGAGAGGAUUCCUCAUCAAUAAGGAAAGCUGCUGGCUCUUCACUGGGGCACCUUUCUGCAAAGAUGAGAAAGAAAAAAUAAAAAGAAAAAAACAGACUGGAGGUGCCACGUUGCUCAUGGGAGAAGAGAUGAGUGCAGCACCGAGCUGUGGUGCAGUCAGGAGAAAGCUUUGCCACUGGUCUGACUGCUUGAUCCCAACAAAACACCAGCAGGAAACAGUGAGAAAGGAUCUGACCUAGUUGCUGUCAGCUGUGUUGGAAGUGAUUUUAUCAGCUCCACCUGCUUAAUGGGGGUAUUAUUCAAGACUGCAAGGACAAUGAUUUGGAAACAAAUGAGCACCAACCUGUGAGUUCUCCAGGGACAAAUGAAGAACACUUGUGCAGGACACCAGUAAUCAACAAUAGCAGGACAGUCUCCAGACUGAGAAAGGAAGGAAAAGGGGGAGGGAGGGCUGAGCAUCUCUGUGUGUUUGCCUGGGGAAAAGAGAUAUUACCAGGCCAGCUCAGCUUGUUCAAACAUCUCAGAGUUUGCUCCACAUUAAUUUCAGCAGUCAAAAGCACCAAAAGAACUGCUCUGAGAGACACGGCAGCUACAUCUGCAGGGGAACAUCAUGUCCAUGUCAAGCUUUCAGAGUCUUAUAAACUGCAAGGAGUGCAACACAGUUUCUUAACAAGCAGCAAAGAACAGCCUCGACAGAACAGACUGUAAUAUAAGGUACCACAGUGCCACUUAUUCCUGCUAUGGAUCCAGUGUGCAUCACUAGGCUCAAAUAUAGCGUAGCCUCAGUGAAUCACAUCCUGCAGACAGCUACUUAUAGGUGAACAAUUAAGGGAAAAGAAAACAUGUGGCAUCAGAAUAACAAAGGAGCCUCUAAAGAGCAGGUGGACAACAGCACACAGUGAAGCAAGCGCUGCAGAAGGCACCACAGAGACACUUGACUGGUGUUUUCAAAAAUAUAUAUGAAUGGAAAAAGGGAGAAGGAACUUUUUCAUUUUCUAACAUGAGCAGAAAGCCCCAGGUCACUGCCUUUCCAACCAUCAGGGCAAUAGCAGCACUCACUGUGGUGUUCUAAUCUCGACAAGGACGCUCUGGGCAGCAGUCUCACUGUGACCACCCAGCACAGUGCUCUGAAAUAGCCUUGUAUUUUAUAUGUUUUAAACAAACAAAUGGCACGUAAGCACAGAUAGCAUCAUGUACACAGCCAGCUGGUAGCAUGACACACGUAUCACCAGUAAGACCCUGUGAAUUCUUAGUGUGCAGGUCACACCCAAACAUUUCUCACCAUCUAUUCUGUCUCCACCACAUACCCCAUUCCCCAAAGGAUUUACUAUGGCAACUCCACGAGCAUCCAUCAGCACGGCUGAGACAAUGCACAACACAUAUGGGUCAAAUGGGAAAAAAGCCCUUCAGCCCUGGGACAGGUCCCUUCUGCACUUUCUCCCACUGGAAUUACAGCAAAUGAGGACAUCUGGGGCCUCAUCUGAAGCCCUGAGAAACAUCAGUGUGGUACACCUGCCUCUCUCAACUGCUGUAUAUACUUAGACAUGAAUAUCCCUACAUAUGUAUACACUCAGUGAGACCAAAUGACUCCACCUAAACAAACGCCAGGCGUUCGAUGCCCAUGCAUGACACAAGUAGGUGAAUUUUUGUACGAACUCACCAACUUUGCCCUGACACAGUCAGGGAGGUGGAUCAAGCCAAGGAAGAAAGAAACCAAUGCCCUUUGCAAACAGGCACAGCAAGGUACCAGUCUAAGUAAAAACACCGUGCCCAGCACCUUUGGAGGCAUUGCCCAGAGGACAGUGGUUAGAGAUGAAAAGGACACACCAGGAAACUCUUCCAUAAGAGUUGAUAUUUCAGCUAAGUAAGUUUCUGUUUAAACAGGCAAUAAUUACGUCCACUCAGGAAUUUCUCAUUUUCACCACUUAAAAACACCCAAAGCUGCUUUGAGGCUUUUCCUUUUUUCUCUCCCACCUUUAUUUGCUAGGUAAACACAUUUGCGUGAGCCCUGGAUCCCACAGCAUUCAGUUUCUGCAGCAUCAGCUUAGAAGCAGAGCAGCAGCGACCCAGACAGCUCCAGCAGGGCAUCCUGGCUCCUGCUCCUGACACUACAGCUCAUGAGAAUGCAAAAUCCCAAACCAUCCAGCUCCUCACAAGAUCUUCUCCCAAUGUGGGAUGAAGCAGAAGAUGUCAUUUUUGCUAUCUGUGCUAAAACUUAUUGACACCAGGAUUGCCCAUGAACUCCCGCACAGGUUGAAUUGGUCCCAUGAGCCAGUUUUGUUUCUGCUUAUGAAGUAGUGCUGCAAGUUUAACAGCAGAUCAAGCCUCACUUGAGGCAGGUAGGAGGUGUCCUACUACUUCAAACACUUUGCAGCCUUUACAAGAGGAUGCAUGGGUCAGUGCAGUGAUACCUACUGUCUCCUUCACGGGCAGAUGUGGAUACGCCACACCAAUGGGUACAGCCCCAAAGAGAGCAUCCAUGCCAGGCUGUGAAAACUGCACACCAGCACUAUCUCUUGCCUACCACCACAUCAUUCUGCCCAUGAAGAUGCUUCUGAUAGCCACAAGAAGACAGACAAAAUAAAGAGAAGCAGGAAAUUUGGAUCAGUCCCUGGCCUUGACAUACGUACACGUAUACAUGCAUAAAGAUGAAUGCAUAUGCAUGUCUAUGCCUGUGUGUGUAGCUUUGGGCAAGUCCCUUAGCCUCCUCACUUACUGGAAGUAGGAGGGUAAUACCACUGCCCUAAAUGCACUGUAAAAGCCAAGGGCUGUGUAAAUAUCUGUAGGCACAAGGAAGCCCAAUAUCUGCACCUCCUCCCCACCACUACAGAUAAUGAGAAAUUUCAGCAAAGACACACCACUAAACGUCUCAUCAGCCCGAGAUCAGUGGCAACAGCCCAAGGAGGUUGCUGGCAGAUAUCCCAUGACACUUUCUAUUAUGUCUCUUUAUAUUGCCUUAUGUUUUGCACAUCUGUUGACCUUCUUGCCAAAGAGGAGAGCAGGGAGCGGCUCCUCAUCAAACAGAUCUGCUUUAGCAUGUGAAAACCCCUUACAGUGGCCAAAAACCUCUUUUCCUCUGAAAGCAGGUCGCCCCCACCACAUUCGGCCCCCAGCUCAUUCAAAAAGGAAGUUCUCAGCUAAGAUCAUGGUAGCAUUUUGCCAAGCUGGCCACGAACUGAUUUGCACCACAAGACCACAUCUCUGCAGCAUCUCA